GACAGAGGUGCCGAGCGUUUAGGCGGAAUCACUGGGCUUAAAGCGUGUGUAGGCGGGCCGUUAAGUGUCUUGUGAAAUCCCCCGGCUCAACCGGAGAAUUGCUGGGCAUACUGGCGGUCUUGAGCGAUCUAGGGGCAGAUGGAACAAGUGGUGGAGCGGUGAAAUGCGUAGAUAUCACUUGGAACGCCAAAGGUGAAGACAGUCUGCUGGGGAUCUGCUGACGCUGAGACACGAAAGCCAGGGGAGCGAACGGG
rnacentral:rRNA from 1 species